rnacentral:rRNA from 1 species
GGCGAAGAAGGACGUGGCGACCGACGAAAAGCUCCGGGGAGCUGGAAGCAAGCAUUGAGCCGGAGAUAUCCGAAUGGGGCAACCCAGAAACAGCCUGUUGAAUAUAUAGACAGGCAUGAGCGAACCUAGCGAACUGAAACAUCUUAGUAGCUAGAGGAAGAGAAAGAAAAAUCGAUUUCCCAAGUAGUGGUGAGCGAACAGGAAAUAGCCUAAACCAGUAGUUUUAAUUACUGGGGUAGUGGGAAAGCGACAUGGAAGCUGGAAGCUAGACGAAGCAGCCAAAAACUGUACCAAAGAAGGUGAUAGUCCUGUAGUCGAAAGUGGAAAGAUACUAGCUUAAUCCCGAGUAGCACGGGGCACGAGAAAUCCCGUGUGAAUCAGCGAGGACCACCUCGUAAGGCUAA